rnacentral:rRNA from 1 species
CAGCAGCCGCGGGAAUACGUAGGGUGCGAGCGUUAAUCGGAAUUACUGGGCGUAAAGCGUGCGCAGGCGGUUGCGUAAGACAGGUGUGAAAUCCCCGGGCUUAACCUGGGAACUGCGCUUGUGACUGCACAGCUAGAGUAUGGCAGAGGGGGGUGGAAUUCCACGUGUAGCAGUGAAAUGCGUAGAGAUGUGGAGGAACACCGAUGGCGAAGGCAGCCCCCUGGGCCAAUACUGACGCUCAUGCACGAAAGCGUGGGGAGCAAACAGGAUUAGAUACACCAGUAGUCCCUGUCUCUUAUAC